rnacentral:misc_RNA from 1 species
GUCUUGGAAGGCGAGUAUUUGAUAUAUACAUCCAGGAGAAAUUAGUUUGGAAAGACUUCAAUAUUGUGAAUGAGGCUGGUGGAGUUCAAAUGCCCGUGGUGAAGCAUUUUAACACUAGUGUAACAGAUAAUAUUUUGGAGAUUCGAUUUUACUGGGCCGGCAAAGGAACUAUCAGAAUCCCAUCCAGGGGGCAUUACGGUCCUCUAAUAUCUGCAAUCUCACUCAAACCAACUUUUGGAUCUUGUUCAGAGGAAGAUAAAAAGAGUGCGACUGUUUUUGUUAUUGUUGGAGUAGUGACUACAUGCAUUUUCCUGUUAUUAAUAAGCACACUUUGGUGGAAAGGAUAUCUUCAAUGCAAAAAGAAA